GUUUUAGUGAUAGAGACAGAUAAAUAUAAUAUAUAAUGGCCAGUAGUGAUUAGUGCUAUGAAGAAAAUAAAUCAUUGAAAGGAACAGAGAGUAGUGGGAGUGUCAUUUUGGAUGGCCUGUGAGGGAAAUCCUUUCUGUGAAGGCAGCCCUGGGCGAGAGAGAGUGAGUCCAAGAGCAAGCCCUGCAGAGGCCUACGGGAGCAUUUCAGGCAGAGAGUCCAGCAAGUUCAGAGCUCCUGGGGCCAGGCCAGCUUGGCAUGACCACGGAAAAGCAAAGCCAGUGUGUGGGGCCAAGAGAGAGCCAGAGGGGGAGUCAGAGGCCACGGGGAGCACUUGGAAUUGUUCUCUGACAAGGUGGGAAGCCGUGGCAGGGUUUUGAACAGGGCAGGACAGCCAUGUGUCACUUAACCAGGGGGAUACAUUCUGAGAAGUGCGUCAUUGGCUGAUUUCAUCAUUCGUGCCAACAUCACAGAGUGUACUGAAGAGGAACAGAAUUUGCCAGCCCAAAAUGUGUCUCUCUAACAUGAAGAUGAUUUUAGGCUGAUUACGUUUAAGUAACAAAAGACUCAGAAAGUUUUUCUUGUUAGCUCCCCCUUAAGUGCCUAAAAGAAUUCAGAUAAAAGCAGCUGUCUCAGGGGCCGGCCCCGUGGUUGAGUGCUUGAGUUUGCACACCCCACUUCAGUGGCCCAGGGUUUCGCUGGUUCGGAUCCUGGGCGCAGACAUGGCACUGCUCGUCAGGCCACGCUGAGGCGGCAUCCCACAUGCCACAGCUAGAAGGACCCACAACUAAGAUAUACAAAUAAUCAGCUAUUUAUUAUUACCCCCAUUUUACACAGAAGAAAAACAAAGCAGAGAGGGGUCAAAUAACUCUUCUGAAGUCACAGAGCUGUUUAUCUUUUAACAGCUGACAUCUGGGUCAUUUUCUGGAGGCCCCUCAAAGAAAGUUGAAAGAAGGUGAUUCGAAUUGCUUAUGAAACGUUUGGGUACAUUGGGAACUGCCAAUCAGCUUCUAAAAAUAAAUUUUUUAAAAAGCCCUGAUCUAUCCAUGGAAGACGAGUCCAUCAGCACAGCCAACAGUCAAGGAGAAAUCACAGCGAAAGGAAGGCCUCAUCGCCACUGUUGUAAACAGCGCCGUCCCUGCCCUGCUUUCCACCAGAAACGUCAGCUGCUCGAGGCCUUUUGACUGUGUGCCUUCUCUCUCCUCUCCUCUUCUGCCACCUGACUGUUCAGCCAGCUCUCCUCCUGCGGCUGGAUCCAUUUCACUGCAUAUCACAUUUCAGAAAACUGGCUCACGCAGAAGUGAUGCCAGGACUCCGACUGAGGAAAGGUCUCAAGCUCAAUAAAUAUUAGCUGAACGAAUUAGAUGAAUGAAUAAUUACCAUAGGUGUGGUCCUUCUGGAUAUGCAAUUGCACCUAAUAUCUCAGGGCAGGGAAGGACAUAGAACUACAAGAUGCAAGAAAGAUUACCUACACUAACCGGUCAGGUUCUGAUGGGGGGGGCAGGGUUCAGGGGGCAGCAGCACGGGGCAUUGGAAAUGCAUCAUACUUUGCAAACAGACAAACCUGGAUUCAAAACCUGGCUCUGCUCCUUGCUUAGCAUAGGACUUCAAUCUCUUCUUAACCGGAGUCUCAUUACUGUGCCUAUUUAAAAUGCCUAUCUUUCAGAGCACUGUGGUUUAGGCCUGAAGAGAAGGGAGUUUACUCAGGCUCUUCCCUGAUCCUUGUUUUCAUUCCCAUUCCAGAAAGGAGACCUAAUCUGAUGGGUUGUUCCAGGACAGUGACUGGGCCACAUGAGGGUGGGGCUCUCUUUCUUUCUUCUUUAUCUUGUCAGAAGGCCAGAACUUUUUUUUUAAAUUAAUUAAUUUAUUUUUAUUUAUUUUCUUUUUUGAGGAAGAUUAGCCCUGAGCUAACCAUCUGCCACCAAUCUUCCUCUUUUUUGCUGGGGAAGACUGGCCCUGAGCUAACAUCUGUGCCCUUCGUCCUCUCUUUUAUAUGUGUGAUGCCUGCCACAGCAUGGCUUGACAAGCGGUGCUAGGUCCACACCCAGGAUCUGAACCUGUGAACCCCGGGCUGCUGAAGCAGAAUGUGUGCACUUAACUGCUGUGCCACCAGGCCAGCCCAAAGGCCAGAACUUUCCCAGCAUGGAAGGAGACAGCCCCCAUUGUUGUUCUCUCUAGCCCUCUCUUCUCUUUCUUGUAUGCAUGCUAUAAGGGGUAAGCGGCCAGCUCUCUCUCCUCUGCUUUCUCCUUCCAGGUGGCCUAAGUGGCAAGGAAAACAGGAACCAUUUCCUUCUGGAGAAAAGACCUGUCCAUCCUGUUCUCUUUUCCUUUGGGCGUCUCUUCUCUUCAACCUCCUGUCUCCCAUGUGACUAACUGGUAGGCGCAUUUGGGUUUAGCCUUAAGGAGAAGGAAGGGUCUAAUUGAGCCACUCCUGCCAGAGUUCCUGGCCUCAGAGUUUCACACACAAACCCAGGAACAACAAAAUGUUCCCGCAGCCAGACUGAAAUUUGACCUCACUCUAGCUCAGAUGUGCAAAGUCAACGUUGGAAAUGGAACUGAAAAUCACCAGCUAAAGUAUCUCACUCUUCUGACUUAAGAUGAUUUCAUUCCAGGUCAUAACUCCCUGUUGGAGCUGUUUCUCUCCCUUUGUCUUCUCCUCCUUAAGAUGGUUUCUGUAGGGUGGUGCUUAGGUGACCUCACAGUGGCUCAGAGCCCAUGCUUUUCUCCUCUGGAUCGUCGCCAACCUGUGCUGCCAGGAUGCUAGUCUGGUCUUGCCCUUGAGCUGUCAGUCCUAAAAGUCUGUCCUCCCACCCACCGUGACCGCAGGAACUUUUCUUGCCUCAUAUCUACCUCCUUACCCAGAUGAAAUUUGUAAACACCUUCUGCCCAGAGGCCUACUAGCAGAAUGGCUACGUAACUCGUGAGGAAAACACACAGACACCCACGUACCAUCUUUAUCAGGUUGCUUUGCUUUCCUUUACCAUUGUCUGUCGUCUGAAUAUCACCUUUGGGAACCUCGUGGGGGAAGGAACCUUGAAUUUGGGGUUAUCCCAAAUACUUCAUAAAGUCAAGCUCUCACAAAUAAUUUCUAGUAUUCCUUCUACAUACGGCUUUAUUUUUCAUUAUAUUCUUCUAUACUCUCCCAAUAAACCCCAACAGAGCACUGGAGGAUUUCCUGUUUUGCUUGCAGCUGUAACCCCAGUGUUACAAUAGCACGUGGCACAGGGCAGGCGCCCUAUAAACACUGUGGAAGGAGGGAGUGGCUGCUCACACCUGCGGUGCAUGGAUUUAUCCAGUCCCCCUCGCGGGCAGUCUGAUGUCCCUGAUCUCCGGUCCUUUGCACAGCAGCGCCCGGAAGUUCACGUGCUGCCCACAGCAGUCACCAGCGUGGAGGGGGGAGUCGAAGCACUGAGGUCCCUCGAGAAGAGCAGGACAGAGAAUUAACAGGGGCCAAGAGUAGCCCUAGAACAGCGGUUCCCAAACUUUUAAAUCUCAGAACCCCUUUCCACUUUUAAAAUUUGUUGAGGAUUCUAAGGAGCUCUCUACAAGGGUCAC
ensembl:lncRNA